CAUAGCGAGUCACUGGGCAGGGGCUGGGCUUUGAAAUGUGGAUUUUUUCCCCCAUUUUCCUAGAGGAUGUUGAUGCAGUUGGAGACCACUUGAGAAGCACUUCUCUGAGGAGGGAUGCUCUCCCAUCAAAUGACAGGAGUGCAAUGAUGUGUCCACCAAAUGCAACCUUCUGGUAACUUCCAGUAUGCAAACAACACAACAGAAUGCAGGACGACGAUGUGCUCUGGCAAACGUCCAC